rnacentral:rRNA from 1 species
CCCCUAGAUGUUCUGGGCCGCACGCGCGCUACACUGAACAGUUCAACAAGUCUUAACCUUGGCCGAUAGGUCUGGGUAAUCUUUGAACGCUGUUCGCGACUGGGAUAGACCUUUGCAAUUAUGGGUCUUCAACGAGGAAUUCCUAGUAAACGCAAGUCAUCAGCUUGCAUUGAUUACGUCCCUGCCCUUUGUACACACCGCCCGUCGCACCUACCGAUUGAAUGGUCCGGUGAAAUCUCGGGACGGCGGCUUGGUCGCUUGCGUCCGACUGCUGAAACUUGAUUAAACCAUAUCAUUUAGAGGAAGGUGAAGUCGUAACA